UUGAUUCUCAGGGUGACUACAGCAUGUGGACAUCCUGCCACAGGCUCCGGAGGGAGGGCCUGCUCCUGUCUCACAGUCUGCCCCUCCUCACCUCCCUGCUCCCUUCUCCCCGCUCCCUCCCACCACUUCUCCCAAACUGUAUGAGCUUCAAAGGAAUUCUUAGUAGCUACAUAAUGAAGUCGGGGAAGCUCAACAGUUGAUAAAUCCUGGAUGUUCUGCAGAAGACUUUGGACGCCUUCAGAAUAGGGCAGUCAGCAAACCCAGUGCCUCUAGAAACAGCUCCACUGGUAAGAGGUCUUUGACCAAAGCUCUCAGGGACCCAAAAUAUAGACACCUGCAAAGAAGGUGGAAGUUCCUGGAGUAAGGAGGAAGAGGACUAGCUUGAAGAGGAGAACUAGUCUCAUCUCCCUCUGCACAGAUAUGAAAUCAUCUGAAAGUGAAAGAAAGAAAGAGAGAGAAAGAAGGAAGAAAGAAGAAAAAGCAUUCCAAAUUCAAAGCAGCACAUACUUUCAUCCUCUGCCUCUUGUCUCUGUGAAUUCAUGAAGUAACUCUGAGAAAUAAGAAAGCAUGAGGAGCAGCAGCAGCAGCACCCUGUGAAAUCAGUCACCAGCCAGGAUGUGCUUUGGAAAGUGUCUGCAGCAGCAGCCUAUUGAGGCCAGACAGCACCUGAAGAAUGCCUCUCAGAGAAAGACAUUUCCGCUGUCUUCAGAAGGGAGCGUCCUUUUGUUCUCUUUCCAGCAGGUCACAUGGCCAGUCAGCCUCCUCCAGAGCAGGAGAAAUUCCUCAGGAGUUCCCUUGAAUUGUGCUUCUGUUCUAUAUCAGGCCACAAGUGGUCAGGCUGCACUGUUUACAAGAUACCCUGUGGCUUCUCAGAGUGACCUGGUUUCAGAGAGCAGGUCCCAGAUGAAACAUGAAAGCUGUCCAGGCUUCCAGGACAGCAAAAGGCAUUUGUCUGUGAGGCAAGCCAUUUGAUUUAGAGAAGAUCAAAUGAUCUGUGAAAGGGGCUUGCACAGUGGAGUUCUCUGAUUCAUUAAGGAAUCCAGUGGAAUGUGGUAAUUUGUGCAGGCUAAUCAGGCUCCCUUAAUCCCUCUGCCUGAUUUAAAAAAAAAAAAAAACCCUCUGAAUCAUUUGGUACUUAAACAGCACAGGAUCCCAGGAAGAAGACAAGCAAACCUAUAAAUGUCCUUUGCUUCUAGGGGAAAAUCAAUAUCAACAUAGUCCCUUUUUCUUUUGUGUUAUUUUUUUUUCCUGAGAUCAUCUAUAGGCAAAUGCAUUUUAAGUCAUUUUGGCAAGAGAGCAAUUGGACCUUUUCAAUGUUGUUGUUGGAGGAGAGAAAACACCAGUUGAGUAAGAUUUUAAAAAGUUCUGUUAAUGGAGUAGAGCAGAAGUUGUUUUUCUUAAUUGAAAAGUAUGAAGACAGAUUUGAUAACAAUUUUCCCCUUCAUCUCCUCCCUACAUGUUAAAAAUCCAAUUAAUUUUUAAAAAGAAAUUUUAUGAAGGAAUGAAAUAUAUUUCCUUGUACAUGAAGGAAAAGUUUUACUUUGCAUACUGCUUUCAAAUGUGCCUUUCCACCUGUCCUGGGAGUCUAAGGUUCAGGACUGUCUUUGUCACAUGUACACUUAUUUUUGAUGAGUUAAAUGUAAAUGGGAGUAAAUGAUAGGAAAAUGUGAACUGUGUAUACGCUUGGAUCUUAAAAAAGUUUGCGCUCCCCAGUUCCAUGACCCUCAUGGAAGAUGUAGAACCUGAACUUCAUGGGAGAAUGAGAUCAUAAUGUAAAUGAAAGACAUAGAACAUAAGAGAGAUAGAGAUGAAAGGAAAAUGAAACAGGAAAUUCUAGUGGCAAAACUCUGUUCUCAAGUCCCAUUAAAGGAAAACACCAGAAUUAACGAGAGCGUGGAGCCCACUUGAUCCCGUAUUUAUUUUGGCAGAUGUCAGCCUUCCAUGCGCAGACUGGAGGCAGAGAGGAGACUCCAGUUGUGGAGCUGCUGGGCUCCCAUCUGAUGGCCACCAACCUGCAACAUGCAAGGAGUAUAAGCGCUUUUGUUCAUAACUCAUGAAGAAAUUUCUUCCACAUUAAAUAUUUUCAUUUCAUGGUCCUUGAAAAUGAGCACUUCCUCGUCUUUGAUUCAGCUGUCACAACAACCCAUGAGGUGUCCAUGUUUUCCAGAUGAGGAGUCUUACUUCCAGGGUCAACUUAGUGGGAAGGUGAGUUUGGACCUUAUAUCUCUAAACUCCUGUUAGAAUCCUUCUUCCACUACUCAGAACAUAGGUUGUAAGGUUUAAAAUUAAAUAAGAUGCAACUCCAGGACUAUUUCUUCAGAAGAACUCUUCAUCUGAAAAUGGCAAAAUUUAGGUCUCCUCAAACUCAUUUAAAAGCCAUGUUGAAGAACUCUCAUGACUUUUUCAGUUGGAAUGAGACUGUUUGAGGGAUUCCUCUACAAAAAAGACUGAACUUUAAUGGCUUCUCCUUGUUAGGAUUUCAUAAACUCUAGUCCUAACGUGCAUUUUCACGGAGCAUGGCAUCCUGAUUCCACAGGGGAUUUCAGUGGGACAUUGCCAUGUUCUCCUAGGAUGGGAAAAGAGGUCCCAGCUUCCCUCUUAGCUGACUCUUUCAGAAACAUUUACAGAGAGGGAAAACAGAAAAGUAAACUUAUUGAUUUAACUAUAGUAUAACUGCCAUUCAUUGAAAACUACUCUGAAGGAUAAUAGAAGCAUCGUCUCACUUCCUCCUCCCAGGAAUCUACUUAGUAAUGGAAUAUCAUGUUUAAGAGACAGACAGCUUGGUUGAAGUCUUGGCUCCCUCCAUCUCUGUGACCUAGGUAGCUCUUUCACACCUCUGGGUUUAGUUUUCUCCACUGUGACAUGCCUGGUCAUCAUGGGGCUGUAGUGAGAUUGAAAUUAGAUUGUCAUCUGAAAGCCGCCUAGACAAUGCUCAGCACACAGCAAACACUUAGUCACUGUCAACUGUUGUAUCAGUAUUAAAGCCUGUCCGACAGGUGAGUAAAUUGAGGUUCAGGAAGUGAAAUGACUUACUCAGAAUCACACAGUUAGGCAGGUAGACUACCAUUUUCUCUUUUAAAUACUAUACUUGUCCAAAAUUCACAAUAAAAUCUGUAACAGAGGAAGAAACUGCAGAAAGCCUGCUAUCCUCUGCUGAGGAUGGACUUUUCCCCUCUUUUGUGUAGGACCUCUUCUUUUUACCCAGGCUUUUUACGCAGGCAGCUUAAGGCCAGGGGAAGGCUUGAAGUAUAUGAGCAAACCCUGAUGGCUGCCGUUUUCAAUAGCUGUCAUUUAUUCUGACAUCAAUUCUGAAGUCUUUGCAUCUUACUCAAAGAAACCAAAUACAGACCACAAAUGAAUAGUGCUACUGCAUAAUGGGUAAAAUGCUUUCCUUUUUUUUUCUUUAUAAAACUCACCAAGAUAAAAUAUUUUUCUUGAAAUCAUAUGCCUGUAAUUCUCACUAACCACUUGGCAGAAGGUGACAGUGGUCUGAGGGUAAUAGUGAUUUUUAUUUCACCUUUUCUUUGCAAGGCGCUUGGGCCAUCACUCCUGCCUUGCACAGUGCACACUGACUGUAGUUCUGGUUAGCCAACACAAUUUUAUCCAAGAAGUUGCGGAUUCCAUGCUGGCUCUUGUCUUAGUAGCUAAACCUUGUCAGGGAACAUGGUACGAGAGUGGUAUGGAGAUGCUCCCUUGAGAGGGAAAGGAGGCAGGCUUAUGUGUUAAAUCAGGAUUUCUCACCGUCAGCACAAUCUGCAUUUUGGACCAGAUCAAUGUGUGCUGGGGAGAGGGGACUGUCCUGUGCACCGUAGGAUGUUUAGCAGCACUCCUGAUCUCCGCCCACUAGAUGCCAGUAAUACUCCCAAGCCCCUAGUCAUGAUAACCAAAAAUGUCUCCAGAUGUUGCUAAACCUCCCCUGGGUGACAAAAUCAUCCACGAUUGAGAACCACUGUGUUAUAUGCUUGAGUCCUUGGUUUUUCCAGGGUGAUCAGAAACAGGGGAUUUUCGUGCCCAGUCUGGGUGGACAUGGAGUACGGAAGGACGAUGGCCUUCACUGAUAGGAUCAUUUGCAUAUUAAUACACAUACUAAAUAAUUAAGAUGGCUAUGUUGGCUGCAUAGUUAUUCACACUGUGGCACAUCUGGCCUUUUGAAAAACAUGGUUAAUUUAGUUGUUUUGCAGUUAUCUUGUACAUCCAUAGGCAUGUUGGGCUUUAUUUCUCCCUGUUUAAAAUAACAUGUUCUCUGUAAAUAUAUCUGGUCAUUACACAUAUCACCCCCAUCCCUUUAGAAAAUAAAUUCCACAAAACAAGAGGAAUUGUUUGCAAUGGGUAGAGUAUAUUCACUGUCAUACCAGGACUGCUGUGUGGUUCUCAUUUCUUCUGCCCUGGUUUCUAUGACACCCAGAGCAUGUUUGCACGGCUGAUCUAAGUCUUCCGCCUUACCCUCCCGGGUGGAAUUAAGACAACAGGAGUAAGAAGAAGGAAGAAGAAGGAGGGCAGAUCUUCCAGAGCAGAGCCGAAGUGCAGCCCAGCGUCCCAGUGACUCUUCUAGACACUGCCGCUGUGUCUCGGGGUGUGUGUGUCUAUGUGCACACAUAUGUGUAUAUAUGUGUGUGUGUGAGUGUGUCUCCGCGUACAUGCACUUCUGUGUGUGUAUCUUUCUGUGUGUCUGUGUCUGUGUGUGUGUGAUUUGGACUCGGUUGUGUUAGUCCAGGCGGGCCUUCCUGUCCCCUUUGCCAUCCAGAACAGAAAAGGGCAGUUAGGAAACACACUUAACUACUGCUGGGAAGAUAGAGCUACUUUGUGGAACUUGUUUCAAAUGAGUUUUGUUUUGAAUCUACAAAGUCAUUCAAAUCUAAUCACAGCAAAAUUCAUAUAUUGUAGUGUCAUAUGAUUGAAACCAAAAAAGGGCUGUAUGGGAUGCUCUCUGCCAGUUUUACUCAUGGCUUCAGGAAACUCCCCCAUCCACCAGUCUUUUAUUUUCUUGCUUUGUGAGCCAAGACUUCAGGGUUGUGCUUUUCUAAGCCUCAUUUUCAUUUACAGACUUUUCUUUUUUUAACAGCCCUGUGCCUAAGGCAUGUCAUUUGUGCUAUUAUUUCUCUAUACUUCUAUCACUAAUUUAUUUUCAUAUUAAAAAGAGAAUAUCUCCUUCUAAUUGUAUAGACACCAAUGUUGUCUAGGGCAGGGGGAGGGGGUGGGUAGAGCAGGAAUUAAUUAGUACCCUGUUUAUUGUUUUAAAGCUGACUGAAUUGAGACGGCUCUAAUUCACAAGGGAAGGCCCCUCUGUGGUGGCCCUUACUGUUGUGCAGUCCCUAUGAUGUGACAUUAAUGUUCCCUGGCCUGUCAGCAGACUGGAAAUCUCACUCCUUUCAUCACUGUGUGGUGGAACUGGAUUUUAGUUAAACCAGCAUCAUCUUCAGGGGUGACUUAAGGAAGCAAUAUACUUGAAGUCUCAUUAAGGGAAGAGGUUGCACUAUGAGCCUUAGGCAGUUUCACUAAAGGAAGGGGAUGGUUGAACCUCAAGGAGAUGGAAAGGCAGGGACCCAAGGCAUGCUCCUUUACCGUUCUGUGCUAUGGCGCUGGGAAUGUCAUGUGGGCAUGCAGCACUGUCUCUCCGACCCAGCUCGAUAUCCACACUGCCCUCUGUAGGCAGGAACCAUACCCACCUUCUCAGGAUUGCUGGAGAACGAGGAUCACAUCUGAGUCCCUGUGAUGAGUAUUUUCUAGCUAGAGAACACCAAAACCCACCUUCUCCUGAUAUAAUUCCUGAAUGAUACCAAAGUGUAAGUGUGUUAGUUCAAACUAUCAGACACAGGGAGUAGAAUCUUAGUGAUCCAAUUAAUGAAUAAAUAGAGAAGUGGCUUAGGAGUCAGAUCUACUUAAUGAUUUUGUCUCAGUCUAGACAUCUGAUGAGCUGAAUUCCUAGGAGUGCCAACCAUGCAUUCCCUCUCCCUGAACUGCCAGGGGCAACUCACUGCUCAGAUGUCACCAGCUGUAUGAGAUCCUCCUCGGUUUGUAGAGAAUUUCGUACAUUUUUUUCUGUGCUACUGUGGGAGUGUGUUAACUCUUAUUACAAUGCUUACAUUUUAUGUUAAAUUGUUUGUUUAUGUCCACAUUCUCUUCCCAAUGUCACAUUUCAGAAUGUGAGCUUCUCCAGAGAAGAUAUAACUUCUUGGGAAUUGCCUCUAGGCUCAGCAACUGACUGAUGAUUGACUGAAAGAAUGUGCCAGGAAAGUCUUGUUGAGAAGAGAAUUAACAAAUAAAUGAGGAUAAAUCCUUGUAGUGAGAGAGCCUCCUGGUCACUCCCAUUCAAUUCUCAAUUUGAAGAUGCUGUGGUAUGACAAACCGGAGACAGGUCAGAAACACUGACAUGGAAGAGACCAGAGGAGUGCUUAAAAAUACAAAAAUAACACAAUAAAAUGAUUAUGACAUUG